UACGAAGGGGGCUAGCGUUGUUCGGAAUUAUUGGGCGUAAAGGGCGCGUAGGUGGUUCUGUAUGUCUACCGUGAAAGCAUACAGCUCAACUGUAUUUUGUCGGUAGAAACUGCAGGACUUGAGGCUGGGAGGGGCUGGUGGAAUUCCCUGUGUAGCGGUGAAAUGCGUAGAGAUGGGGGAGAACACUCGUGGCGAAGGCGGCCAGCUAGACCAGUUCUGACACUGAGGCGCGACAGCGUGGGGAGCAAACAGG
rnacentral:rRNA from 1 species